CAUGAUGACAUCAUCAUCAAGAUGACAUCAUCAAGAUGACAUCAUCAACAGGAUGAUAUCAUCUAGAGGACGACAUCAUCAACAGGAUGACAUCAGGACGACAUCAUCAACAUAGUCAUUAAAUCUUCGCUCUGCACAACGUGCAGCGGGAGGGAGGGAGGAAAUGAUCCCACGACACUACGGCAUGAGAAUAUUUCAAACUACUCCUACUCAGUUGUCUCUGCACUCAGCCCUGUUGGCACAGGUGCGAUGAUGUAACUGACGACAGGACGGUAGAGGGUAAAUUUCUACCGUAGGCCAACAUCAUAUGGUUUCUACCGUCUACCGCAUAUAUCGCACAACCCUACAUCAACAUGACAACAUCAACAUGAUGACAUCAUCAACAGGAGGACAUCAUCAACUGGACAGGACGACAUCAACCACAUGACGACAUCAUCAACAUGACGGCAACAUCAACAGGACAGGACGACAUCAUCAACAUGACGACAUCAACAUGAUGAUAUUAUCAACAGAACAGGACGACAUCAUCAACAUGACAGGACGACAUCAUCAACAUGACGGCAACAUCAACAGGACAGGACGACAUCAUCAACAUGACGGCAACAUCAACAGGACAGGACGACAUCAUCAA